rnacentral:snoRNA from 1 species
GCGUGGGUUUGGAUUUAUGGCAGGCCUGUUCCCCUGGGCCUCUCCUAGUGUCCCAUGCCAGAGCAACUGUGGCCCUGAACCAUUGUCUGGCCUCUGCCCAUAGGCUGCAGGCACUGAAGCAGGUUGCACAGUG